CCUUUAGAAAUGAAGAUUAAUAUCCCAUAGUAAGUUAUCAUUGCAUGAUAGUAACUUUAAAGUUUCGGCGGUAAAAGAUGAGUAUGCGUUCUAUUAGCUAGAUGGUGUGGUAACGGCACACCAUGGCAACGAUAGAUAGGGGCCCUGAGAGGGGGAUCCCCCACACUGGUACUGAGACACGGACCAGACUCCUACGGGAGGCAGCAGUGAGGAAUAUUGGACAAUGGGCGCGAGCCUGAUCCAGCCAUGCCGCGUGCAGGAAGACUGCCCUAUGGGUUGUAAACUGCUUUUAUACAGGAAGAAACCUUUUCACGUGUGAAAAGCUGACGGUACUGUAAGAAUAAGGAUCGGCUAACUCCGUGCCAGCAGCCGCGGUAAUACGGAGGAUCCAAGCGUUAUCCGGAAUCAUUGGGUUUAAAGGGUCCGUAGGUGGAUAAUUAAGUCAGGGGUGAAAGUUUGCAGCUCAACUGUAAAAUUGCCUUUGAUACUGGUUAUCUUGAAUUAUUGUGAAGUGGUUAGAAUAUGUAGUGUAGCGGUGAAAUGCAUAGAUAUUACAUAGAAUACCAAUUGCGAAGGCAGAUCACUAACAAUAUAUUGACACUGAUGGACGAAAGCGUGGGGAGCGAACAGGAUUAGAUACCCUGGUAGUCCACGCCGUAAACGAUGGAUACUAGCUGUUCGGACUUCGGUCUGAGUGGCUAAGCGAAAGUGAUAAGUAUCCCACCUGGGGAGUACGUUCGCAAGAAUGAAACUCAAAGGAAUUGACGGGNNNNNNCACAAGCGGUGGAGCAUGUGGUUUAUUCGAUGAUACGCGAGGAACCUUACCAGGGCUUAAAUGUAGAUUGCAUUAGGUGGAGACACUUUUUUUCUUCGGAACUAUUCUACAAG
rnacentral:rRNA from 1 species